UAAAGUUUACUUCUGGUGUGACUCAACUAUAGUAAUUUCGUGGCUAGGCAUGUCUCCGCAUUUAUUGAAGCCUUUUGUUCAAAAUCGCGUUACUCAAAUAAACGAUCUCACUGGUAAUGCGACAUGGUUGCAUGUGAGAAGCGAAGACAACCCUAGUGAUUUAUUGUCUAGAGGCGUUGCUUUAGAUAAUUUAAUUGAUUGUAACUUAUGGUGGUUCGGGCCAUCAGUUUUGCAUGACCCAAAAUCGGAUUUUAUUAAUGACAAUACGAGUAAAAAUACGGCAUUCAAAGAUUUACCCGAGUUACGAUCGACCGCGGUAAGUUUAGUUUGCAAUCAACAAGAUGAAUUAUUUAAUUUCGAUAGAUGUUCAUCUUACAUUAAAUUAAUUAGAAUCGGCGCGUAUGUACUCCGCUUUAUAUUAAACUCACGCAUUAGCUCUGAGCGUAAACAACUCCGCCAAACCGGUUCAUUAUCGGUGGACGAGCUCAGUGCAUCACGUCUUAUGCUAGUUAGAUUCGCGCAGAUGCAAUCAUUUCCGGACGUUUACGAUAAUUUACUUAAAAAUAAACCGCUUAAGACGAAUAGUAAACAAUAUAACCGUAUAUCCGGUCUUAACGUGUUUUUAGACGAUCGUAAUAAGUUAAAAGUGAUUAGAGUCGGUGGUAGAUUGUGUAAUUCCACAAGUUUCGAUUACAACAAAAAACAUCCCAUGUUAUUGUGCAGUAAACAUAAAUUAACGGUGUUGUUAUUCAAUUAUGAACACAAUCGGCUGCUACAUGCCGGACCGCAGCUACUCUUAUCUACUUUGCGUGAAUGUUGGUGGCCUUUAGGUGCGCGAAAUUUGGCAAGGAAGAUAGUUCGAGAAUGCGUUACCUGUAUUCGAAUGAAAGAUCCUACUGAUUUAUCCCCGCUCACGCCCGCCCAUUUCCUAAUUGGUCGGCCGUUGACCUGCCCUGCUAGCGGGGACCUGACGGAUGUGCAGCCUUCCCGCCUGUCUCGCUACGCCAGGAUCGAAGCCCUACGUCAACACUUCUGGCGUCGUUGGGCCACUGAGUACGUUACGGAGCUCCAGCGACGAACCAAGUGGAAGAC